GAGGGAUCAUUACCGAGUUUACAACUCCCAAACCCCUGUGAACAUACCUAUACGUUGCCUCGGCGGAUCAGCCCGCGCCCCGUAAAAAGGGACGGCCCGCCCGAGGACCCCUAAACUCUGUUUUUAGUGGAACUUCUGAGUAAAACAAACAAAUAAAUCAAAACUUUCAACAACGGAUCUCUUGGUUCUGGCAUCGAUGAAGAACGCAGCAAAAUGCGAUAAGUAAUGUGAAUUGCAGAAUUCAGUGAAUCAUCGAAUCUUUGAACGCACAUUGCGCCCGCCAGUAUUCUGGCGGGCAUGCCUGUUCGAGCGUCAUUUCAACCCUCAAGCUCAGCUUGGUGUUGGGACUCGCGGUAACCCGCGUUCCCCAAAUCGAUUGGCGGUCACGUCGAGCUUCCAUAGCGUAGUAAUCAUACACCUCGUUACUGGUAAUCGUCGCGGCCACGCCGUAAAACCCCAACUUCUGAAUGUUGACCUCGGAUCAGGUAGGAAUACCCGCUGAACUUAAGCAUAUCA
rnacentral:rRNA from 1 species